rnacentral:rRNA from 1 species
GAUGAACGCUGGCGGCGUGCUUAACACAUGCAAGUCGAACGGGAAACCUUUUAUUGAGGCUUCGGCAGAUUUAGCUGGUUUCUAGUGGCGGACGGGUGAGUAACGCGUGGGUAACCUGCCUUAUACAGGGGGAUAACAGUCAGAAAUGGCUGCUAAUACCGCAUAAGCGCACAGAGCUGCAUGGCUCAGUGUGAAAAACUCCGGUGGUAUAAGAUGGACCCGCGUUGGAUUAGCUGGUUGGUGGGGUAACGGCCCACCAAGGCGACGAUCCAUAGCCGGGCUGAGAGGGUGAACGGCCACAUUGGGACUGAGACACGGCCCAGACUCCUACGGGAGGCAGCAGUGGGGAAUAUUGCACAAUGGGGGAAACCCUGAUGCAGCGACGCCGCGUGAAGGAAGAAGUAUCUCGGUAUGUAAACUUCUAUCAGCAGGGAAGAUAAUGACGGUACCUGACUAAGAAGCCCCGGCUAACUACAUG